UCCGCCCCCGGGCUCUCCUUCUUUGGCGUGUGUCAAGCGCCUCCCGACCUCAGCCAAAUGCAUGCGAAGGGGGCAGCGCUCUUACGGGGUGGCGCUCGAAGCGUGACACGGGCAGGGAGCGAAUGAGUUCGCAGACGCUGUGUUUGUAUUAAAUGGACGCCAGCUCGUUUUAGCAGUUGGAGCGUUCCUUUUCAAUGUUGCAGCUGCUGACAGCAAGCUAUAAGUGGAAGUGAACAAAAGGAAAUAAUGCUAUGGGAAAGAAUUAAGAUCAACAAUGAAAAAAUUCUCAGAAAGUUUGUGAGUAUGGUGUCAUAUCUGCCCAGAGCCUCGCCAGCAGAGAUUAGGCUGAAAGCCACAAGCCUAAUCUUGCGCCUGAAGAGAAAGGAGGAUAACACUUGCCUGCCUCAUCCUGAGUAUGAGAUGGAAUAUGUAUUUGUUUCCUCCUGUCAGGCCUAGAAAAGGCCAAGACCUCUUUCUCCUUGAAAUAUUUGGAAGAAAGACUUCUUUUACUGUAUUCCAGAGGCAUCCUCUCUAUGCCUCCAAGGCACAGCAAGUAAGCUACUUCUUUUACAUGAUUUUUGUGAGAAAGUUCUCUGAAGAGAGAUAAGGAUGGGGAGGAAUUAAAAAUGCACAGAAUCCAUGGGACACAACCCACCUGUCAAUAGCACUUCAAGCAUGAUGGCACAGGUCCCUUGUGUUACGUGGUCAGAAAGGGUUAAGCAGCUCACAAGCUAAACAAUACAGAGUCCACUGUUAGAGACAUGUUACAAAAGUAUGUAAAUGGUAAUUAGGCUAGAAUUUUUAAAUGAAAACCUGUAUUGUUAGUGAAUUAAAGGUGAUACUAAUUGUAUGUUUGUUUAUAUGUUGUUGGAUGUUAGCCAUGUAAACAGACAAUUUCUGUUUAACUGUAGCUAUUGAUUCAGAGAUGAA